rnacentral:rRNA from 1 species
CCUACGGGAGGCAGCAGUGGGGAAUAUUGGACAAUGGGGGCAACCCUGAUCCAGCCAUGCCGCGUGUGUGAAGAAUGCCCUCGGGUUGUAAAGCACUUUCAGUGAGGAAGAACGCCUGGUGGUUAAUACCCAUCAGGAAAGACAUCACUCACAGAAGAAGCACCGGCUAACUCCGUGCCAGCAGCCGCGGUAAUACGGAGGGUGCGAGCGUUAAUCGGAAUUACUGGGCGUAAAGCGCGCGUAGGUGGCUUGAUAAGCCGGUUGUGAAAGCCCCGGGCUCAACCUGGGAACGGCAUCCGGAACUGUCAAGCUAGAGUGCAGGAGAGGAAGGUAGAAUUCCCGGUGUAGCGGUGAAAUGCGUAGAGAUCGGGAGGAAUACCAGUGGCGAAGGCGGCCUUCUGGACUGACACUGACACUGAGGUGCGAAAGCGUGGGUAGCAAACAGGAUUAGAUACCCUUGUAGUC